GGUUGUGGCUCAGUGGCAGAGUGUCUGCCUGGCACAUGUGAGGCACUGGGUUCAAUCCACAGCACACCA
rnacentral:tRNA from 1 species